AUCGAUUAGAAGAACAAAGGACUCCGUAUUGACUUUUAUCACAACUUUAAGCAAGUAAUUAAGAGUAAAUUCGAAAGCUGUUAUCGAAUCAUUACUAAUCAUCGUGGUCUAACAGAUCCAAAUUGGAAAAUCAAAUUACAAAUUACGAAAGACUCGUAUUCCGAAUUUCGAAUUAGGCGUUCGUUAUAAAAGCAUAUUAAACGAUACAAUUAUGGUGUACACUAAUAUUGAUGGGUCAUUGAUGGGCCCUUAUCAAGAAAUCAAGAAGGGUAACGACGAUCAUAAAUUGGAUGGAUCCAAAAAACAAACUCAACAUCAGCAAAAUAUAUAUACGAAAAAUGAUAAAAAAUAUGGUGCUUGGGGACCAAUUUAUAAAAAUAAGGAUAAUUUCGUUAACAUGCAUAUUUGUUAAUCCUUAUAUAUAUAUAUAUAUAUCAUAUAUGUUUUUAAUUCAUCUUAUUGUAACAAAAUUGAUGAUUACUUAAAAUUCAAAGUUUUUCAUAAUCCUUAAGUAUACUUAUAAGUUAUACUUAUUAUUAACAUAAUAUGAUUAUAUUGGUAUAAAUAAUACUGUAACACUUACAUUAUAUAAAUUCUUUUUAUAAAGAGGAAAAAUAAAUUGGUUUAUGAUAUGAUUAAUAA